rnacentral:tRNA from 1 species
UGCAGUAUAGCUCAGAUGGCUAGAGCAUGCGACUCAUAUUCGUAAGGUCACUGGUUCGAGUCCAGUUACUGCAA